AAAGGAAUAGACGGGGACCCGCACAAGUAGCGGAGCAUGUGGUUUAAUUCGACGCAACGCGAAGAACCUUACCAACAUUUGACAUCCCUCUGACCGGACUAGAGAUAGUCCUUCUCUUCGGAGCAGAGGUGACAGGUGGUGCAUGGUUGUCGUCAGCUCGUGUCGUGAGAUGUUGGGUUAAGUCCCGCAACGAGCGCAACCCCUAUCUUUAGUUGCCAUCAUUAAGUUGGGCACUCUAGAGAGACUGCCAUUGACAAAAUGGAGGAAGGUGGGGAUGACGUCAAAUCAUCAUGCCCCUUAUAUGUUGGGCUACACACGUGCUACAAUGGUUGGUACAACGGGCAGCGAAACCGCGAGGUGGAGCCAAUCCCAAUAAGCCAAUCUCAGUUCGGAUUGUAGGCUGCAACUCGCCUACAUGAAGCCGGAGUUACUAGUAAUCGCGGAUCAGAAUGCCGCGGUGAAUACGUUCCCGGGUCUUGUACACACCGCCCGU
rnacentral:rRNA from 1 species